UUCGUAAUUAACCAAAAAGUCAUCCCAAACAUACAAAUUUUUUUUACCUACCUUUUUAGCCAAAUAGCAAAAAAGUUACUAAAUUAGCCGGUUCCCAAAUGAGGCCUUAAUUUCAUCUUUCAAGGUGAAUAUUUGAAUGCACGAACGUAUGCUUGCGUGUAGUAUACAAAAUGUUCAAAAUUGAUAUAUGAUAGAAAACCAGUACUCAAUCCAUACUACUAAGGUGAUUUAUUUCCAUCUUAUAUAUUCACAAAAUCUUGUAUAAAGUUUUUAUUACAGUAAUAAAAAUCUAUAUAACAAAACAAGGGUGUUGAUGGGAGAUUUGUUUUAGGUGGCAUACAAAUUAAUGGCUGAGAUUACACUUCUUACCAUGCAUUUCAAGGGCUGAGAUCACACUUCUCUUUUAUUUUUCUCUCUCUCUCAGGCUUUGUUUGUUCAGGUUUCAAAAUUCAAACAUUUCAAAAGUUUGAUACCAUUCUCUCUCUACCAAGCGUUCUCUUCCCCAUUCCACCCUCUCUCUCUCUCUCUAUCUAUCUCACAGUCAAACACACUCUUUGGUUCUCUCUCUCUUCUACCCGAUCUAUCCCCAUCGGAGCCCAUCCUAUGCGGAUAUCCAACCUCAACCCCCUAUUCAUUCUCGACUUUGCCCAUUGCAACCCCGACCAAAGGGUUCGAUUUUGCCCAUUACAAUAUGAAAUUGCCCGUUUCAAUCUGAAAUUGAAGGGUUCGAUUUUGCCCAUUGCAAUAUGAAAUUGCCCAUUUCAAUCGUUCAAAGUUGAGCGAAUCGUCUUCAAUCAAAUGGUGGGCUUUGCAAGUCGUCUUCAACCAAGUCAACUGAUUUCAAUUUCAGAUUUUCUUCAGUUUCAUAUUUCAGUAGGUCAGAUUUUCUUCCAACAAAACACUCUUUAAAACUUUCGAACACAACCUACUGUAUGAAUCUCUUCAUCUUCUAUGUUUUGUAGAUCACAAGAGAGAACCCAUUAUGUUAUGGAGGUAACUACUUUGUUAGAAUAUGAUUUAUUGAGUUCCAUUUAAUUGAAGUUUUGUGUUGUGGUUAUGAGUUGUGUUUCCACAUAAUGCGUUUAACCCGUGUGUUUCUAAUUUCUAUUUUUUUAACAUUUAUUAUCAGCAUUGUGUAUGUAUAUUGUUUUAAAUCUAUUGUUAAACUAACUUGCAGGUUGGAAUUUUGGAGAUUGUUGUAAAGCUAUUGGUGUUUCUAAUUUUUUUUUUUUUUUUUAACAUUUAUUAUCAACAUUGUGUAUGUAUAUUGUUUUAGAUCUAUUGUUAAGCUAACUUACAAGUUGGGAUUUUGGAGAUUGUUGUAGAGCUAUUGGUGUUUCUAAUUUUUUUUUUUUUUUUUAACAUUUAUUAUCAGCAUUGUGUAUGUAUAUUGUUUUAGAUCUAUUGUUAAACUAACUUGCAGGUUGGGGUUUUGCUAUUGAUAUAUCCUUGAGUUUAUAAUAAUUAUUUUUUCCAGUCAAGAUGUAGUGUUGAUAAUUGGCUUGGAUAUUGUGUUUUAUGUUGUAUUUAUUUUAAUUAUGGAAUUAGGAGUGUCACAGACCUUCAAUUAUGUUUCCAUCGUCUUCUUCCCUUUUUUCAGAUGCACACGUUUCUCUUCCUAAUCCUAGGUAUUAAUUUUUGCAUUGGAGAUUUUGUUUCCUUUUUUCAGUUGUCAUUUUGUGACUUUGAAGAUAUUCCAGCCGCAAAGUAUGGACAUCCAUGUUGAUGAUGAUGACCUAUGAAGGCCAUAUGAGCCUCGAUAGGGCUUUGUAAGGUUUAUCAGUUAAUUCAAACUUAAAAUAUUUGGUUUUUGUGUCACUUUUGCCACUAUUUUGUGUAUUUGUGUCAUUUUCUUUGAUCAUAAUAUAAAUAUUUAGGAAAAGAGAUUGUUCCUUAUUUCAUUUUGUUUGUUCUUUUUCUCUCCUUCAAUAAUGUCAUUGCCUAAUAAAAAGAGUAUCCAUUGUAAGGAAAGCAACCAUCUCAAUUGUUUUCUCUCUCCAUGCCUCUAUAUCUCCUCUAUAUGUGUCAAGGUAUGUCUCUAUAUCUACUUUCUUGACUAGCUUUCAUUUUUUGUUGUAUUGUGUGUCUAUUAUUUGUUACUUUUAGAUGCAUCACUGUGCAUAGUAGUAGCUUGGUCAGUUUCUUUCAAUCUGUUUUACAUUCAUUGUUGCUAGGGAGUUGAUGGGACAUUUGUCUAUGCGGCAUACAAAUCAAGGGCUGAGAUCACACAUCAAGGGCAUACAAAUCAAAGGCUGAGAUCGCAUUUCUCUCGCCCUCUAUUUUUCAGAUUUCAAAUUUCAAACAUAAUUCUUGAAGACUACCUCCCUCUCUCUCUCUCUCUCUCUCUCUCUCUUACACACACACACACACACAUGCACACACCCUUCACUCUCUUCCUCACAAACCUCAACCCCUCCUUGCGCAACUGUCACAGCCUCAUUCUAGCAGGCGAUUGAUGGAUGACGAGUGUUUAUUUCACUGAUUGAAGUUGUUAAAGGGAGCAUGGCGGACUAAGAACAGAUCAGAAUCUCGAGUCUCGGCAACAGAUGCGGAGAAUUUGUAAUGUCCCUUGGUUCUUCGGUCGUAGAAUGGUGAAGUUAUGUCAAAGGUAUGAAAAUUUGGUAUGGAUUUUUUCUAAAUCAAUUUUUAAAAUUUGCUUUCUUCUUGCUUAAAGAUUAACAUUUUUUGGUGUUUCUAAUAUAAUCACUAUUUGUAAGAAUAUUUUUUUACGUGAUUCAUGAUUUUUUGGAAUUUUUCUAAAUCUAUUUCUGAAAUUUGAUUUCUUCUUGCUAAAGGUCAACAAUUUUUGAGGUUUCUGAUAUAAUCACUAUUUGUAAGAAUAUUUUUUAUGUGAUUCAUUUUUUUUUCCUAUGUAUAUUUUUUUUAAUCAUUUGAAUACUCAUGAAAUCUGUUUGUAUAUUUGAGGUUCAUGUAAUUUUAAAAGCAUUAUAACAAGAAGAGGACUCAUAUGGCCAAAGUGAUUCACAAUCAUUUUAGUAACUCCUAUACUGUUGUUUAUCUCCUAACUACACUUUUUGUUAUUUCGGUCAAUAAUUCCCAAGCCUACUUCACAAUAUUUCCUGCACAUUUUCACAUUCAAAAGCUAUUGUUCAUGGUUUUCUAGAAUGGAAUCCCCUAGAUGAUCUUUUGCGUUAUUCUGCAGGAAAUAAAUGAAGUAAUUCUAAUUAUGCUUUUACGAGAUCAUCCAAAUAAUUGAAGGUAUUCAUUGACAUCUACUUUUCAUAUCAUGCUUAAUCAAUCAUUAUUUCUGUUGGUUGUUGAUUUUGAUGUUUUCGAUUUUUUAUUAGUUGAUGCGCUUUUAGAUUUCUUUAACACAUUUGCUGGUUUACUUUUGUUUUAUUGAAUUUCUAUCUUUAUGGAUUUGGUAAGUUGUUGGUGAGGCAGAGAGGGUGUGCGGUAGGGGAGGGAAAGACAAAGAAGGUGGUAGCAAUGCGAUAGGGGAAUAAAUUUGAAAAAACACCAAAUAUUUAGUUUUAGAGAAAAUUCUAUAUAACAAGGAAGGAUAGUAUUUGAUCCAAUGGCUAGGAUUGCUUCUCUCUUUCAUCCAUGGUCCAUUUCCAACAUUGAUUUUGAAAAUGUAUUUGUCUUGUGUGGCAAUUUGGAUGGUCUAGAUUAAUUUAAUCCAAUGGUCUAUUUUUUAACACUUCACCUAUCUCAGAUUCUAGGUAUCUCUCAAUCACUCCUCAGCUUUGCCCCUUCCUCCUAGUCAUUACCUCAUCAAAGUCUAAUUUUUGUUGUCUAGGUUUUCUAAUUUUUGCUUUCACUAUUUUUGUGCCUCUUUCAUUACAUAAUGAGCUUUUCCUUUUUUGGUUUUUUCCUUUUCCCAUUUUGCCAACUAACAGAUCUCUAAAAACAUUUCUAUCUUCAACUCAAGCUGUGAUGAGAUCCUUAGGUGCCUUUGUUUUCUAAUUUGAUUUUGAUUUGGUGUUUGUUUACAAUUCUAUUUUGGGUUUGUUUUUAAACAUCUGUAUUCCUAACAUUGUUGUUUAGAUCAUAUGAGAGCUCCUUUAUUCAGAUUUGUAUUUGUCUACUUGCUUUUCUUUUCUUUUUUUUAUUUAUUUAUUUUAUUCUUUGUUUUGGACUUUGUUGUUAACCAUUUAGAGUGGACUUUUUUGGGUGAAUAUUUAGAGUGAAUUUUGUUGCAUUAAUAUCCUUAAUUUGAUUUUCUUGAGAAAAUUGAAUCUUUGAGGACUGUUUGAGGAUUAACAAUGUAGAGUGAGGCUAACAGUGAGUUUAAGGAAUAUCAGAUGUUAAUAAUUUAUGCUUCAUUUUGGUUGGGGAGUGCCUUUAGGCACUGGUCAUUCGCUAGAUUAUUUUGAUAUAUUCUUCUUUUUGGUAAUAUCUUUUUCUCACAGAAAUGCUUAUUUUUCUUUCUUUUUUAUUUUUUAUUUUUUAUUUUUUGGUGAGAUGCUGAAUUUUUUAUUUUAUCACAAAAGUUUUUUUUUUUUUUAAUUUUAAAAGAGGUUCAACAACCUUCAAAGUGUUGACAUCGCAGGUUUUUUUAGUCCCAGGAUGGUUCUCGAAUAAAAUUCUUAUCAACUGGUAUGGUUAACAUUUAAAAUAUUAGUAUGAUUCAAGACUAUAAAACACUUAAUGCUUCAUAAUAUUAGUAUUGUUAAACUUUUAUUUGGUGUUAACUGUAGAUUGUGUUUUGUCAAGUUUAUAUGUGGAUCAUAAGCUGAUUUUUUGGCUUAAAAAUGUAUAGAAAGUAGAGAGGUGAUAUGACCCAAAUAAGCCAAUAAGUCAAUGUUUUGGUUGAUCUAAAUGUUUUGGCUUUUGUAGAUUUUGUGAAUGAUUUGAUUUUUUAGCUUUGUUAUCCCUUUGGGGGCUGAAUUUUGGUAUUAUUUGCAUCAUCUUGAUACUUUUUAAUAAUGUCUGCUUAUUUAUGAAGAAAAACAAAAUUGAUGCUAAAAUCUCCUCAUGUUCAAAUAAUUGAAUGCAACAUUGUGGUAUUUUCUUAAUUCCGACACUGAUACAUACUUAGCAAUGUAGUAAUAGGUGUAAUAUCAGUUUUGCCAUGGACUACUAGAUUUGUCAUGUUCACCAAAAACAAAGAAUAUAAAGUGUUGACAUCACAGUUUUUUUAGUCCCAAGAUGGUUGUUGAAUAAAAUUCUUAUCAACUGGGUAUGGUUCCUGAAGCAUUUUUAUUUAUUUAACAAUUAAAAUAUUAGUAUGUUUCAAGACUACAAAGCAUUUGAUACUUCAUAAUAUUAGUAUUGUUGUUACACUUUUAUUUGAUGUUACCAGUAGGUUGUGUUGUGUCAAGUUUCUAUUGUUGUGCUUCUAAUUAUGUUGAAAGCUCCUCAUGUUUGAAUAAUUGAAUGCAACAUUGUGGUCUUUUCUUAAUUCCGACAUUGAUGCAUACUUAGGAAUGUAGUAAUAGGUGUAAUAUCAGUUUUGCCAUGGACUACUAGAUUUGUUACAUUCAUCAAAAACAAAGAAUUUAAAUUUGUUCCUGCAUGCAUGAUUUUUUUUUGGUUUGCAUAUUCCGGUUUUUUCUUCCAAUGAAAAGCUGGAUAAGUGAAUAUU